AGUGAACGCUGGCGGUAGGCCUAACACAUGCAAGUCGAACGGCAGCACAGUAAGAGCUUGCUCUUACGGGUGGCGAGUGGCGGACGGGUGAGGAAUACAUCGGAAUCUACUUUUUCGUGGGGGAUAACGUAGGGAAACUUACGCUAAUACCGCAUACGACCUACGGGUGAAAGCAGGGGAUCUUCGGACCUUGCGCGAUUGAAUGAGCCGAUGUCGGAUUAGCUAGUUGGCGGGGUAAAGGCCCACCAAGGCGACGAUCCGUAGCUGGUCUGAGAGGAUGAUCCGCCACACUGGAACUGAGACACGGUCCAGACUCCUACGGGAGGCAGCAGUGGGGAAUAUUGGACAAUGGGCGCAAGCCUGAUCCAGCCAUACCGCGUGGGUGCAGAAGGCCUUCGGGUUGUAAAGCCCUUUUGUUGGGAAAGGAAAGCAGCAGGUUAAUACCCCGCUGUUCUGACGGUACCCAAAGAAUAAGCACCGGCUAACUUCGUG
rnacentral:rRNA from 1 species